GGGUGGGGGGUACCUGCAGUCUGAGCUUAUUCGCAUGGAAGAUUUUAAGAUACAGAUGCAAUGCUUGAUGAAUCAGAAGUCAUGGGAACAAGGAAUUAAAUUAACAUCGAAGGACAUGCAUCGCACGUUCUAUACACCACAAGAAUAAGUACUUCAUAUUUAUUCAUGUCGUAGCAUGAUUUUGCUAAGCCAGCAAGCUACUAUUUGUACUUAUUUUCUAAUCUAUCUCGAAUUAGUUUACGGAAACAUAGAUUAUCACAUUAUAAUUCCCAAAUCCUAUUCAUAAA
rnacentral:lncRNA from 1 species